UUGCUCAGCCAAACUCCAUCGCCUUUGUUCAAGAACAAACCAUAAUUUCCGGUGAAUUCUUCGUCGAGCAAAAAUCCCGAAUUUUACAGUUCACAUGUAGCCGCCGAUCGGAGGCUUCAUCUCCUUGGAUUCAAUUUCGGUUGCAGAAAUUACUAACACUACUUGGGGACCCGUAACCGUUUUGUCAUAGACAUCCAUAGCCACACGAUCAUUUUUCUUAUUCUUCCUUCCGUUCUUCACCAUAGCUAUGCGAACAGGGAGACGUAAGGAUUUCUUCUAGAAUUGUAAUUGCAACGGAAAGGUUUAGAGUUUAAUCCUUUCUCUGCAAAUAAUUGGAUUAUAUUAUUUAGUUUGGUUAAUAAUUGUUGAUAAAUUGAUCCUUCAGUUAAUG
rnacentral:lncRNA from 1 species